AAUAGAGUCCAAUUUAUAGGAAGAAAGUUAUUCAUAGCAGGACAUGGAGCUAGUGGUGUUUUGUAGACAAUCUCAUAAAAUAUUUUGAGUUUUAACUUGUGACUAUUUUAGAAGGAACAACUUUAAAAUAUAUAGCAAUUUUGCUUAAGCAAUUCCAUCUUCUACUCAGGAGGAGUUUGGAGAGAUACCGUGAUAUUCUUUGGGACUGCUUCUUAAAGUUUGGCUUGUUUAUCUGACGUGGUAUGGUGGCACAGUAUGAGAAAAUGAUUAUUCAAAGUCCAAGCAGUUUUGUGAACAAUGAGAAGCCUAGAAGAGCUACUCAGUGAUACUCCUUUGAGAGGAGCAAUUUAAUGUGCAGUCCCCAGCCAGAGACAGUCUCGCUUUUAUUGAGUGAAAUACAGAAGAUGGAAAUCAGAGCAAGCAAGCAGGAAAGAAAAAUGUUUAGCAAGAACAGAGGAAGCCUGAUUUAAGCAAGCAUCGAUAAGAAUUAAGCAAAAAAAAGGAAAAACCUCUAGGUAAGAUUCCUAACUUGACCACUCUGCAGGCAUUGGAAGCUAAUCCUUUUGCAGGCUGUGUUCCUUACUGGAAUGAUGUCAGAGCUCCUUUACCUUUUCCAGGCUUUGAGAGAUUGGUCCUGUUUCCGAGUUCCUUACACGGUGCUCACACAGGGGGCACCAAUUGCCGUGUUACUGUGUGUGGCUCGGGAUGAGAAAAUGAUUACUCAAAGCCCAAGCAGUUUUGGAGCAAUGAGAAUAGAAGGACUAUACUGGGAUAGUUCCUUGAGAGGCACAACUUGGGGUGCAGUCCCCAGCCAGAGGCAGUCUUGCUUUUAUUGAGUGAAAUACAGAAGAUAGAAAUCAAAGAGCAGGCAAGCAAGUAGAGAAAGUCUAAGCAGGUGGGAA